rnacentral:rRNA from 1 species
GAUGGACAACAGGUUGAUAUUCCUGUACUACCGAUAACCGUUUGAGAGAAGGGAUGACACAGUAGGAUAAGCUAAGCACACUGUUGGUUAUGUGUGCCCAAGCAUUGAGGCAGUCAAAGUAGGCAAAUCCGCUUUGAUAAUGCUGGGAUGUGAUGGGGAGCGAAAUUUAGUAGCGAAGUAGCUGAUUUCACACUGUCAAGAAAAGUCUCUAUCGAGGUUAAAGGUACCCGUACCGCAAACCGACACAGGUGGGUGAGGAGAGUAUCCUAAGGCCAGCGAGAGAACUGUUGUUAAGGAACUCGGCAAAAUGACCCCGUAACUUAGGGAUAAGGGGUGCCACCAUCAGGUGGCCGCAGAGAAUAGGCCCAAGCGACUGUUUACCAAAAACAUAGGUUUCUGCUAAGUCGCAAGACGAUGUAUAGGAGCUGACGCCUGCCCGGUGCUGGAAGGUUAAGGGGAUCUGUUAGAGCAAUCGAAGCAGUGAACUUAAGCCCCAGUAAACGGCGGCCGUAACUAUAACGGUCCUAAGGUAGCGAAAUUCCUUGUCGGGUAAGUUCCGACCCGCACGAAAGGCGUAACGAUUUGGGCACUGUCUCAACAACAGACUCGGUGAAAUUGUAAUUCCGGUGAAGAUGCCGGAUACCUGCGACAGGACGGAAAGACCCCAUGGAGCUUUACUGUAGCUUGACAUUGGGUCUUGGUACUACAUGUACAGGAUAGGUGGGAGGCUUUGAAACCAGGACGCCAGUUUUGGCGGAGCCAUCCUUGGGAUACCACCCUUGUAGUACUGGGACUCUAACCAUAGGCCAUGAAUCUGGUCUUGGGACACUGUCAGG